rnacentral:lncRNA from 1 species
GGCUGAGCAAAAAAAAAUGAUGUAUUUCAAGAACUUUUCAAUAACUUCACAACUAUUACCUGUUACCUUGGACAGAUCUCAUUCGUAAAAUCCUACGGAGCCAAAUCCCAUACGGUGUUUCAUGAUGCUAUCUUUUUUAAUUCACCUCCACCUUAAUAAAAGCUGGUGGGGCUUUGUCUCUCUCCCUCCUGAGAGUCAAAAACGAAAGGUAGAAAAAAAUAAUAAGAGAAACUUUUCUAGCGGUACAACGUCAGG